rnacentral:rRNA from 1 species
UACAGAGACCUCAAGCGUUAUCCGGAAUCAUUGGGCGUAAAGCGUACCGAUAGGUGGUUUUACAAGUCAGAAGUGAAAUCUCAAGGCUCAACCUUGAGACUGUCUUUUGAAACUGUAAAACUAGAGGAGCAAAGAGGAAGCUGGAACGAACGGUGUAGUAGUGAAAUGCGUUGAUAUCGUUCGGAACACCAAUAGCGUAGGCAGGCUUCUAGGUGCUACCUGACACUGCUAGGACGAAAGCGUGGGGAGCGAAGUGGG